GUAUAGCUCCGCGGUAGAGCGCUCGCUUUGCAUGCGAGAAGGCUGGGGUUCGAUUCCCCAUAC
rnacentral:tRNA from 1 species